rnacentral:lncRNA from 1 species
CUAUAUGGUGCCUGGGCUAUUUCUUGAAUGAAAUGAAUCCAUCAUGAAUGAAAGCAGAAAGAAAUAAUCCUUAGGGUCAAAACUAUAUAAAAGCAUACAACAAGGACUAAAUGUUUUCCCUUUCUCAGUCCCCUUCUUGCUAUAACCCAAGUCUCACAAGCACCAAAUCAUAUCAUCUAAUCUAAUCUAAGAUGCUUAAUUCUACUCAUCCUCAGACUCCAAGGGUCUGAGGAUCAGCACUUCUCACAAGAUGUGGUGCAUAUUUUAGCCCAGCCAUAUUAUCAGUAAACCCUUGUCACCCUCUUCAUCCACUCUGGGACUCAGUGGCUCAGUAUUGAAAACUUCACAAUAAAGGAAGGUACCUGUUAGAGGCAGGCAGACAAGCUCACUUUGCAUCUUUCUCUUGGGGUAGCUUUUUAUACACUUGCAGGGAAAGGUCAUCUUCAGAAUUUCAAGGAUAGAAAAUGAUUUGUCUGUACUUUUAUGGCCAGAGAACCAUGGAAAUGUCAACUAGCACUUAGAACAACAGAGGGAAUGUGCUUCCUCGGGGGCAUUUUCAGCAUUCUUUGUCUGGGUUUCUUUUGUUUUUUGAGUGCCCACCUCUUUUUUCUUUUCUUUUCUUUUUUUUUUCCUUUUGUUCAGUUUUGCCAUCUAGUGGCCAAAAUAAACUAGUGCAAUUAUACCCUAUUCAGUGGGCUGGAAUAGGGUCUUUGUAACUAAAAAAAGUGAGCAUGUGUCCUUCCCCCUCUUUAUUUCACCCAGUUUCUAUUAGAACAUGUCACUCGAUUCAUAAGGAAUACCAAGACCUUAACCUCAAUGUGUCUGGAUCCCUACAGGGGUCAAGGUAAAGAAGUUUAGUUUUGGUUCAAGAGAAGCUGGUUAUGAUAAAAGGGAAAAGAACAAGUGAGGGAUGGGUCCCGUGCUCAUGGCCAGUGGUGACUUCUUCCAGGUGGCAGGGGGAGAGCAGAAUCCUUUGCAAGACUCUGGCUUCUCAGUAGGAAAGAUGGCAUUGACCAGAAAAGGGCAGAAUGGUCAUUGGUAAGAGGGAAUAGGAG